rnacentral:rRNA from 1 species
AGGACGAACGCUGGCGGCGUGCUUAACACAUGCAAGUCGAGCGGUAAGGCCUUUCGGGGUACACGAGCGGCGAACGGGUGAGUAACACGUGGGUGAUCUGCCCUGCACUUCGGGAUAAGCCUGGGAAACUGGGUCUAAUACCGGAUAUGACCUCCGAUCGCAUGGUUGGUGGUGGAAAGAUUUAUCGGUGCAGGAUGGGCCCGCGGCCUAUCAGCUUGUUGGUGGGGUAAUGGCCUACCAAGGCGACGACGGGUAGCCGACCUGAGAGGGUGACCGGCCACACUGGGACUGAGACACGGCCCAGACUCCUACGGGAGGCAGCAGUGGGGAAUAUUGCACAAUGGGCGAAAGCCUGAUGCAGCGACGCCGCGUGAGGGAUGACGGCCUUCGGUUGUAAACUGUCUUUGUACGGAACG